CGUCGUGGUGUAGUCCAAGGAUGGUUUAUUCCUUUUAGAAAUUUGGUGAAGUAAAUCAUCUUUUACUGUCAUGUCAAAUGGAGUGACGAGUUUGGGAUAAAUACAUAUCCACAGUAAUAUAUUGUUUGUCAACACUUGUGAACUCAGAGAAUAUUAAUUACAUGUUAACAACAAAGAGAAUGGCUGCUCCCAAGAAAGGUGAUCUUUCAGCACACGAGCGGGAAAUAUUUAAGGUUAUUGCUGCAGGUCAUCAGGCUGCUGAUUAUCCCGCACACCUGUCACCAUCGUCAAGCGCACCAGCACCUCAUGACACUCACCUGGACUCCAUCACCUCCUUGAUUAUCUUCCCUACAUCUGUCACUCCCCUUGGUUCUUUCCUCAGGUGUUCUGGACUCUGUUUUCAUGUCGGUGAGAUGGUUGUGGGUCGUGUUGAUUCUGUUGUUAAUUAAAACACUCCCUGUACCUGC